UAAAGCAUAUAGGUCGUGGAACACUUUCGGGCAAUACAUCGUACAGUGAGUAGCUACACAUUGAACAAGAAAAGAAGAUGUGAUCCAAGUUACCCUCCUCUUGCCCGCAUUGGCAUAAUGAGUUCGCGCGGACACCAAUCAUAGCCAGAAAUAACGGAGUGCAUACUUUUCCUAAUCGUAACCGACAAAUUGUGGAUAUAGCCCAUUUAGGAGAAUUACGAAAACGAUAGAACCACGGCUUCCGAGUGAUACGAGGUUGCACACAUCCAUAGUGCUUGCCCGUCUGCAAUUUCGAGAUAUCCCAUUGCUCCUGCCAUGUGGCAAACAUGUCUGCGAGUGCACCACUCAAAAGCCUCAAGGAUAGCAACUGCCUCGCCUGUGAAUAUUGAAGAUUGUGGAGGACAUUUAAAUGGGAGAGCUAUAUUGUAACGAGGAAUCCAUACUGCUGCUCCCACGCAACUGGUCGCAUCCACUUUGGAAGCGUCAGUAAACACCGUGACCUCCAGCGCCAGCGGCCACAAGCGUGGAAGCAUCAAGUGGCUAUAGUAUGAGCUGUUCUUGAUUAGGAAUCUAUCAGCAAGAUAUUGCCUGCGAAGAGCCAGUGGAGGGUCAACAGUUUCUACCUACAUGCCAUUCUUCGGAGAACACCUCAUAGCGCCAAGUAUAAUCCUCAAACAUUUUGCCUGGAUGAGGUCUAAUUUGUCAAGCCCAUCCUUAUUGCAAGGUUCCAUUACAAUUGACCCAUAGUCUAUAUGACUGCGUAUGAUGGCAUUAUACAGUAACUUCUGGCAAUAAGGAUGAGAACCCCACCACACCCCAGACAGUGCUCGUAGUAUGUUGAUAUUUUUUUCACAUUUGCCUAUUAUGUAUUUGUGGUGUGGAGUGCCAGACAUUUUAUGGUCCAAAAUAAUACCCAGAAACUUUACCGACUCCUUACUCGGAAUUCUGACACCAUCAUAGUAUACAUCCGUUGUUGGCAUGUUCCUUCUGCGACUAAAUGUAACCACACAACUCUUUGCCGGAGAUAGAGUAAGACCAUGGUCACCGAGCCAAUCCCCAAGGUAACC